rnacentral:lncRNA from 1 species
AAAAAUUAUUCCAAUGAGAAGAGAGCUGCCUAUGUGGCUGCAUGGGGAACUCAUGAAUAAAUUCAUCUUAAAAAAAUAUGUGUGUGUGUCUGUGUCUGUGUAAUCAUCUUUAGAGCAUGCCCAGAUCAUUUACCAUAGAGAUAUCCAGACAGGCCAUUGGAAUAUGCCUAGAUUGCCUAACAUGGAGGCAUUCUUCCCCUUUUACCAUAUGGGUAGGAAAAGCCUUCUUUGAUUAGCUGCAAAGCCAUAAAGACUACAUCUUUAAAAUUGGCAGUACAACAAACUCUUUCUGGUCAAGCUUUUUUUUUUCUGAGUGGUUCUCUUUCAUGCUGUGUCCAGUUAGGUCUGUUCAUAGUGGGGCCACCAUGAACAGAACCAGUAAGAAGGCAAGCAGUUCCUUCCCCUGCUCCCUCUUUUAGCUCAGCUCUAAACAAUGGGCUGGGGUGUUUGUCUUGUUCAGUUUUGUCUGUCUUUUUCAGGUUCAGGUUCAAGCAGCAAUCCCACUACACCUGGGAAUUUGAGUCAUAGGAAACUCAAAGGGAGGAAGUCCUUGAGAAAAGAUGAGGAGACCAAGGCUAAGGAGCUUAAUGAUCGCUCAAAGUCACACAGGAAGCUGACUGCAGAGGAAGGACUGGAAUACAAGCCUCCAGUCCACAGUCAUUUAAAAGAGACCAGGAAGGACAAAGGGAGUAUGUUCAAUGGUUUGUUUUCCUCUGUUCAUUGGUGUCCCUUUCAGAGCAUUCUGGCCCAUCAUGGCCCUUGCCCUGGAAGGCUGAGCCAGCAACCCUCGGCUCCAUGAGUUCUCAGCAUGAAAUGCCUCCAGUUUGUACCCUGGGGAGGGAUGUGGUGAUACACUCUCUCCGAUGCGCAGACAAGUGGUGCCCACAGCAUCCUGGCAUGCCAAAAUGUGGGAUGCUUUAGAAGGCUGACUAGACCCUGGAGACCCAGAGACAAUGGAAGAAAAGAAGAGAGAGAAACCACACACACACACACACACACACACACACACACACACACACACACACACACAGUCUUUUAGGCUACUUUUAGGAAGGAACACCUCACACAGAGCCAGCUUUGUUAAGAAAGCAGCCUGAUGUGGAAGGAGCACCAUUAAUGGGAGAGAGGAGACUCAAUUGGGAAUUCUGGUCUGCCAUUUUUAAGUUGUGUGACCUUAGGCUUUUGUGUUUCAAAUACCAGGCUUUCACUGAAUAAUCAUUGAGGUCCCUUCUAGCUCUGACAUGCCCCCUAAAGCUGCUGGGGGGGGGGGCUUGAGACAGGAAGUGCCUACUAGUAGGAUGCUAGGAAGUCCCCCCACACACACACUUCAGUGGGGCAGGGAAAUGGAAGCCUUUACCCCAGUUUCUCAGUCCCAGUUCAACUAGAUCCAAAUAAGGCCCUACAGAUGACUCAACCCCUGUCUCUAUCUGAUUGUCAAAGUUACUUCUUAGAAUUCAGGAGUCACUUCCCCCUCCUCCCCCUUCUCCAUCCUCUGAAGAACCCACAGCCAUCACCAUGACUCACUGGAUAAUUCUGUCCUUUCACAACUGCUUUUGCCAUUAGUUGUGCUCAAAUUAGUAUUCAAACUUUUUAGUGCAAAGAUUGCUAGACUUGGGGAUCCCAAGGCCUGGGUUCGAGUCCUUAUUAUGAAUAGUCACUUAUUAGAUGUAUAAAUAACCCUUAGCAAAUUACUUUGUCUCUUUAGGACUCUCAAUGUUCUUAUUGGUAAAAUAUUGAUAAUAAUAUUUUAUAUUAUCAUCUUCACAGGAUUGAUUUGAGAAAGUACUUUAUAAAUCAAAAAGUACUAUGGAAAGGGGUCAACUAGGUGGCUCAGUGGAUUGAGAACAAGGCCUAGAGACAGGAGGUCCUAGGUUCAUAUCUGGUCUCAGACAUUUUCUAACUCUGUGACCCUGGGCAAGUCACUUAACCUCCAUUGGCUAGCCCUUACUGCUUUUCUGCCUUGUAAGGGAUAUACAGUAUUGAUUCUAAGAUGGAAGGCAAGAGUUAAAUAGAAAAAUACUAUGGAAAUGUGAGCAAUAAUGAUAAGUCUACAUCUUAUGUCUUUAAUAUGAUUGCCAAUUCCUAGAGAGCAGGGAUUUUGGCACAUGCAAAUAUUCCCUGAGUUAUAAACACUCAAUAAGAUUUCUAAGGUCCUUUAUAUCUCUAGCAUUCCAUAUUCCAUGAUCUAACAUUCUGAGUUCUAAGCAUAGUUAGGACAUAAACUAGAUUCUAUGUUCUAAGAGUCCUUAUGACUUCAAAAGCCUAUGUUGCAUGUUUUAAAAUUCUCUGUUCUAAAAUGUAAAUAAAUAAAUAAAAUUCUCUGUUCUA